rnacentral:misc_RNA from 1 species
AACGCACCUUGCGCUCCUUGGUAUUCCGAGGAGCAUGCCUGUUUGAGUGUCAUUUAAUUCUCAAUCACUACAAUCUUGUGUUGUUUAGUGGAUUGGAGGUGGGGGUUUUUGUGGGUUUAUUUAAUAAAUCUGCUCCCCUUAAAAUCAUUAGCUGGAAUGCCUUUGCAAAACCAACUAUCAGUAUGAUAAUUAUCUAUUCUGAUGUUGUUGUUAAAGGGGAUCUGCUUUCAAACUGUCUUUCAGACACUAUGAAUCAAUUUGACCUCAAAUCAGGUAGGACUACCCGCUGAACUUAA